rnacentral:rRNA from 1 species
CACGUAGGGCGCAAGCGUUGUCCGGAAUUAUUGGGCGUAAAGAGCUCGUAGGCGGUCUGUUGCGUCCGCUGUGAAAACCCGGGGCUUAACCCCUGGCUUGCAGUGGAUACGGACAGACUAGAGGUAGGUAGGGGAGAAUGGAAUUCCCGGUGUAGCGGUGAAAUGCGCAGAUAUCGGGAGGAACACCGGUGGCGAAGGCGGGUCUCUGGGCAGUAACUGACGCUGAGGAGCGAAAGCGUGGGGAGCGAACAGG